GAUAAGCUGAGUUGUUCCUCCUC
rnacentral:siRNA from 1 species